CUAACCCCAUUGAUCUAAGCUUACUUGAAAGGCUCUUUAGGGAAUCUGAAAUCAAAGAAGCAAUAUUCAAUCUUCCAAGUGACAAAGCACUCGGACCAGAUGAUUUCUCAAUUUACUUCUUUCAGAAGCAUCGGAAGAUAAUUAAAACAGAUCUACUAAAUUUUUUUGUAGUAAUUUUUAGGUCACCUACUGACUUAUCUCGAUCAACUACACUCACAU
rnacentral:lncRNA from 1 species